rnacentral:lncRNA from 1 species
CAGAGGAGUUGGACUAGAUGGCCUUUAGAGGUUCGUUCCAACUCUAAGGAUUCUAUGAUUCUAUAUAUGCUCUCAGCUAUCAGGGAAAUAUUCCUCACCAUCAGAGUUGUUAGAACUUACCAGCAUGUGGGACAUGCCAGCUACUGAAGAUAAAAGACUUGAUUAAGGGAGAAAAAGCAAUGGGCUCAUGAAGUAUGGCUGUUUGUCCUGUUUCCAACUUGCUGGGAUGGAGAAUCACAUAGCUCUUAAACCACCUACUAAUAAA